rnacentral:rRNA from 1 species
AUUGAACGCUGGCGGCAUGCUUUACACAUGCAAGUCGAACGGUAACGCGGGGGCAACCCUGGCGACGAGUGGCGAACGGGUGAGUAAUACAUCGGAACAUGUCCCUGGAGUGGGGGAUAGCUCGGCGAAAGCCGGAUUAAUACCGCAUACGCUCUGAGGAGGAAAGCGGGGGACCUUCGGGCCUCGCGCUGCAGGAGUGGCCGAUGUCGGAUUAGCUAGUUGGUGGGGAAAGGCCCACCAAGGCGACGAUCCGUAGCUGGUCUGAGAGGAUGAUCAGCCACACUGGGACUGAGACACGGCCCAGACUCCUACGGGAGGCAGCAGUGGGGAAUUUGACAAUGGGGGCAACCCUGAUCCAGCCAUGCCGCGUGAGUGAAGAAGGCC